rnacentral:tRNA from 1 species
GCUCGGACAGCUGACCCGGUGUUAGCGCCGGUUUACAGAGCCAGAGAGUGUGGUUCGACUCCACACCCGGGCACCA